rnacentral:rRNA from 1 species
UACGAAGGGGGCUAGCGUUGUUCGGAAUCACUGGGCGUAAAGCGCACGUAGGCGGAUCGUUAAGUCGGGGGUGAAAUCCCGAGGCUCAACCUCGGAACUGCCUUCGAUACUGGCGAUCUUUGAGUCCGGGAGAGGUGAGUGGAACUCCGAGUGUAGAGGUGAAAUUCGUAGAUAUUCGGAAGAACACCAGUGGCGAAGGCGGCUCACUGGUCCGGUACUGACGCUGAGGUGCGAAAGCGUGGGGAGCAAACAGG